UAGAUAGUAGAGGACACGUAAGUGCGUUCGGCAAUGUAAAUCUGAGAUGCGAGCUAGCAGUUGGCGAGCAGCGUGAUCACGUGAUCUUCGAGCAAACCGAGCAUAAAAGUUAAUGUCGAACGAUUCUGAGAUGUCAUCGCUAUUUCAUUCUUUAACCUCAAAAGAACAAAAUGAAUAAUGCAGGAAUUGGCUU